rnacentral:ncRNA from 1 species
CACAGGUUUGGUCCCAGCCUUCCUAUUGACCCUUAAUAGACUUACACAUGCAAGCAUCCACACCCCAGUGAAAAUGCCCUCCAAGUUAACUAAGACUAAGAGGAGCUGGUAUCAAGCACACAUCCGUAGCUCACGACACCUUGCAUAGCCACACCCCCACGGGAGACAGCAGUGAUAAAAAUUAAGCCAUAAACGAAAGUUUGACUAAGCCAUAUUGAUCAGGGUUGGUAAAUUUCGUGCCAGCCGCCGCGGUCAUACGAUUAACCCAAGUUAAUAGGCAUACGGCGUAAAGCGUGUUAAAGCACUAUACCAAAUAAAGUUAAAUUCCAAUUAAGCUGUAAAAAGCCAUAAUUGCAACAAAAAUAAACAACGAAAGUACCUUUACAGCCGCUGAAACACGAUAGCUAGGACCCAAACUGGGAUUAGAUACCCCACUAUGCCUAGCCUUAAACACAAAUAGUUAUGUAAACAAAACUAUUCGCCAGAGUACUACCGGCAAUAGCUUAAAACUCAAAGGACUUGGCGGUGCUUUAUACCCUUCUAGAGGAGCCUGUUCUAUAAUCGAUAAACCCCGAUAAACCUCACCAUUCCUUGCUACUACAGUCUAUAUACCGCCAUCUUCAGCAAACCCUAAAAAGGUACAAAAGUAAGCACAAUCAUAAUACAUAAAAACGUUAGGUCAAGGUGUAACCUAUGGAACGGAAAGAAAUGGGCUACAUUUUCUAAUCUAAGAAAAUCCAACACGAAAGUUAUUAUGAAACUAAUAACCAAAGGAGGAUUUAGCAGUAAACUAAGAAUAGAGUGCUUAGUUGAAUUAGGCCAUGAAGCACGCACACACCGCCCGUCACCCUCCUCAAGUAGGUACAAUACACUCAAACUUAUUUACACGUAUUAAUCAUAUGAGAGGAGAUAAGUCGUAACAAGGUAAGCAUACUGGAAAGUGUGCUUGGAUAAAU